GAGUCCUACCAUAUAAAUAGAGCAGAAGACAGGGAGCAAAAGACAAACUCAAGGAGAGGAGAGACACAGCAAGAUACGCCAAGGAAACAGAAUCAAUUCACUUUGCCUGACUUCACUACAACAGCCAAGAGGUUCAUCUGAAAUUCUGGAAGAGAAAGUGGAGGAGAAAAGAAACAGUUCACAAUGAUCAUCAAGACGUUUAUCGUUGUCCUUACACUUCUUGCAUUCAACAGUCAGCCUGCUGAAGGAAGCCUGAGACAGAAAUGUCCCACAGGAAACACCACUAUGGCCCCAACAACAACACCAUCACACGCAGAAAUUGCAGCAACUGCAGCAAUAGCAAGUGCGAAAGCAGCAGCAACAGCGGCAUCAAUAGCAGCAGCA